AUAUUUUUAGUAUAAAAAAGUACAUUUGCCUUCCAAGCAAAAAGCUUCUGUAAAAGAAAAAAUAUA
rnacentral:tRNA from 1 species